rnacentral:rRNA from 1 species
UAACGGCGAGUGAAGCGGCAAAAGCUCAAAUUUGAAAUCCUGCGGGAAUUGUAAUUUGAAGGUUUCGUGGUCUGAGUCGGCCGCGCCCAAGUCCAUUGGAACAUGGCGCCUGGGAGGGUGAGAGCCCCGUAUGGCGCACGCCGACUCUUUGCACCGCGGCUCCGACGAGUCGAGUUGUUUGGGAAUGCAGCUCUAAGUGGGUGGUAAAUUCCAUCUAAAGCUAAAUAUUGGCGAGAGACCGAUAGCGAACAAGUACAGUGAUGGAAAGAUGAAAAGCACUUUGAAAAGAGAGUGAAACAGCACGUGAAAUUGUUGAAAGGGAAGGGCUUGCAAGCAGACACGGUUUUACCGGGCCAGCGUCAAAUAAACGGGGGGGAAAAGGGGGAAAGAAUGUGGCGCGUGCCUUCGGGUUCGCGUGUUAUAGCUUUCUCUAAUACCCCCAUGUUUGUUUGAGGCCUGCGAUUCUAGGACGCUGGCGUAAUGGUUGCAAGCCGCCCGUCUUGAAACACGGACCAAGGAGUCUAACGUCUAUGCGAGUGUUUGGGUGCAAAACCCCAGCGCGGAAUGAAAGUAAGAGGUUGGAGCCGCAAGGCGCACAAUCGACCGACCCUGAAGUGCUCGGACGGGUUUGAGUAGGAGCAUAGCUGUUGGGACCCGAAAGAUGGUGAACUAUGCCUGGAUAGGGUGAAGCCAGAGGAAACUCUGGUGGAGGCUCGCAGCGGUUCUGACGUGCAAAUCGAUCGUCGAAUCUGGGUAUAGGGGCGAAAGACUAAUCGAA